CCUACGGGAGGCAGCAGUGAGGAAUAUUGGUCAAUGGACGAGAGUCUGAACCAGCCAAGUAGCGUGAAGGAUGACUGCCCUAUGGGUUGUAAACUUCUUUUAUAUGGGAAUAAAAUGUUCCACGUGUGGGAUUUUGUAUGUACCAUAUGAAUAAGGAUCGGCUAACGCCGUGCCAGCAGCCGCUGUAAUACGGAGGAUCCGAGCGUUAUCCGGAUUUAUUGGGUUUAAAGGGAGCGUAGGUGGAUUGUUAAGUCAGUUGUGAAAGUUUGCGGCUCAACCGUAAAAUUGCAGUUGAAACUGGCAGUCUGGAGUACAGUAGAGGUGGGCGGAAUUCGUGGUGUAGCGGUGAAAUGCUUAGAUAUCACGAAGAACUCCGAUUGCGAAGGCAGCUCACUGGACUGCAACUGACACUGAGGCUCGAAAGUGUGGGUAUCAAACAGGAUUAGAUACCCCAGUAGUC
rnacentral:rRNA from 1 species